AGAUAUGGGAUGCCUACAACGUGAAGGCCCAGACUUUUAAAACGGCCAUAGAAGCUGCUUGCCUACUUCUCAGAAUCGAUGACAUUGUGAGUGGGAUGAAGAAGAAGCAGCCUCCUGGUGCCAAAGCUCCUUCCAAGCCUCAAGUUGAGACAGAAGGCGAUGCAGAUAAUGAGCAAAUAAUUCCGGAGUGAUUAUCGAGAGCACGUGGUUU
rnacentral:lncRNA from 1 species